rnacentral:rRNA from 1 species
UGGGGAAUAUUGGACAAUGGGCGAAAGCCUGAUCCAGCCAUGCCGCGUGAGUGAUGAAGGCCCUAGGGUUGUAAAGCUCUUUCAGUGGGGAAGAUAAUGACGGUACCCACAGAAGAAGCCCCGGCUAACUUCGUGCCAGCAGCCGCGGUAAUACGAAGGGGGCUAGCGUUGUUCGGAUUUACUGGGCGUAAAGCGCACGUAGGCGGAUUGUUAAGUCAGAGGUGAAAUCCCGGGGCUCAACCCCGGAACUGCCUUUGAUACUGGCAAUCUCGAGUCCGGAAGAGGUGAGUGGAAUUCCGAGUGUAGAGGUGAAAUUCGUAGAUAUUCGGAGGAACACCAGUGGCGAAGGCGGCUCACUGGUCCGGUACUGACGCUGAGGUGCGAAAGCGUGGGGAGCAAACAGG